rnacentral:rRNA from 1 species
GGGGAAUAUUGCACAAUGGGCGAAAGCCUGAUGCAGCGACGCCGCGUGAGGGAUGACGGCCUUCGGGUUGUAAACCUCUUUCAGUAGGGAAGAAGCGAAAGUGACGGUACCUGCAGAAGAAGCGCCGGCUAACUACGUGCCAGCAGCCGCGGUAAUACGUAGGGCGCAAGCGUUAUCCGGAAUUAUUGGGCGUAAAGAGCUCGUAGGCGGUUUGUCGCGUCUAUCGUGAAAGUCCGAGGCUCAACCUCGGAUCUGCGGUGGGUACGGGCAGACUAGAGUGAUGUAGGGGAGACUGGAAUUCCUGGUGUAGCGGUGAAAUGCGCAGAUAUCAGGAGGAACACCGAUGGCGAAGGCAGGUCUCUGGGCAUUAACUGACGCUGAGGAGCGAAAGCAUGGGGAGCGAAC